AUUGGAUCAGAUAGAUAGGGGGGGUGGGGGGGGGGAGUGAUGCCGCUGCCUUCCCUCCUCGAAAUGGUCGGCUUGGAGAUUGAACCAACGCAGCAGCCACUUCCGGAAUAGAGAGAGAGAGGAAGAGGAGGAGGAGGAAGAGGAAUGGGAGGAGGAGGAGAAGAAAACAAACCCCGAACUGUCACCCGGUAAACAAGCGGCUGUUCCUCCGCCGCUCAUCCACCCGUCGCCCCCCCGGGAUCCAGCUGCUGAUCCAGCUGCGGCUGCACGAGGAGCUCCGCGGGUUCGAUACCGCGCGCUGCCGCUGUCCGUGGUGCUGAUCCCCGCUGCUGACGUGAGGGCUGCGGCCACAUGCACGAGGUUGAAGCUCAACACAAAACAGAAACUUCACCGAAGCUCCGUCGGGUGUGCGGCUGUAAGCGAUGCUGCAGAGGAGGAGAGCGUCCCGGAGCCGUUUAUCAGGAGGGGGAGACAAGCUGGAGUUUCCUCCGACAUGUGGAUCGGGGUCGCUGAGGACGAGCCCUGGUGGUUUGAAUGGGUCUGUACGUGGAUGUGGAUUCUUCCUGCAGCUGAGUGAGGACAAACAGGAAGUCAGAUCCUUCCCAUCGUCCUGCAGGGAAGACACACGGGUCAAUACGGUCCAUCAAUAAUGAAACAGAGCACAGACGCAUGUUGUUGCUCCUCCGAGGGAGAGAGGGCAGCGCAGGUGAAGCAGGAGGUCGUUCUGAGGAUUCACGUCUUAAAGGGGAAAUUCAUGUUAAUAAUAUAAUUUAAAUCAUGUAGAGGUUUAAUAUCACAGCCUCAGCGUGAGGAAACAUGAACCCAUGAUCUUUUUUCAUCAUUAAUUAUUAUCAGUGGAGGCAAGUAAACAAAUCAAUGUUCAUUAGGUUUUACAUGUUAAUAUUUAUAAAUGUUAUGUGUAUAUUUAAGUACAAAGUACAGAAGUUAUUCCAGCAAACUACCUCAAGUAUCCAAAGUACUACAAGAUGGACUGUGUCAUUGUUAGAAUAAAUAUAUAUAAUAUCAUAAUUUGUGCAGCUUCAGCUAAAUUCACAGAUUUGAUUACAAACUGAUUUAUGAAGUUGAAACUAGUAACUUGAGACAAUAUCCCCUGAAAUGUAAAGUAGUACAAGUAUUAA